rnacentral:rRNA from 1 species
UACGAAGGGGGCUAGCGUUGCUCGAAAUUACUGGGCGUAAAGGGAGCGUAGGCGGACAUUUAAGUCAGGGGUGAAAUCCCAGAGCUCAACUCUGGAACUGCCUUUGAUACUGGAUGUCUUGAGUGUGAGAGAGGUAUGUGGAACUCCGAGUGUAGAGGUGAAAUUCGUAGAUAUUCGGAAGAACACCAGUGGCGAAGGCGACAUACUGGCUCAUUACUGACGCUGAGGCUCGAAAGCGUGGGGAGCAAACAGG